UACGUAGGGUGCGAGCGUUAAUCGGAAUUACUGGGCGUAAAGCGUGCGCAGGCGGUUCGUUGUGUCGGCGGUGAAAGCCCCGGGCUCAACCUGGGAAUGGCCGUUGAAACUGGCGAACUGGAGUGUGGCAGAGGGGGGUGGAAUUCCACGUGUAGCAGUGAAAUGCGUAGAGAUGUGGAGGAACACCGAUGGCGAAGGCAGCC
rnacentral:rRNA from 1 species